rnacentral:tRNA from 1 species
GCCCGGUCAUAUUCGGCAAAGCAUCAGACUUUAAAUCUGAGGGUCAUGGGUUCUAAGUCCCAUAUCGGGCG